AAUCUUCUGCGGUAAAAC
rnacentral:misc_RNA from 1 species